rnacentral:rRNA from 1 species
GACGAACGCUGGCGGCGUGCUUAACACAUGCAAGUCGAACGGAAAGGCCCUGCUUUUGUGGGGUGCUCGAGUGGCGAAAGGGUGAGUAACACGUGAGUAACCUGCCCUUGACUUUGGGAUAACUUCAGGAAACUGGGGCUCAUACCGGAUAUGAGCUCCUGCUGCAUGGUGUGGGUUGGAAAGUUUCGGCGGUUGGGGAUGGAAUCGAGGCUUAUCAGUUUGUUGGUGGGGUAGUGGCUUACCAAGUCUUUGACGGGUAGCCGGCCUGAGAGGGUGACCGGCCACAAUGGGACUGAGAUACGGCCCAGACUCCUACGGGAGGCAGCAGUGAGAAAUAGUGCAAAAUGGGCGGCAGCCGUAUGCAGCAACGCCGCGUGGGGGAUGACGGCCUUCGGGUUGUAACCCGCUUUCGCCUGUGACGAAGCGUGAGUGACGGUAAUGGGUAAGGAAGCACCGGCUAACUACGUG